UCAAUUCAUUCAAUAUAUACAAUUUGGGUAUGAUUUAGGAACAGUAUCCUCACGUGCCAUCCACGGGUCAUACAUCAUCCAGGCAUCGACAGAUGCCUCCAGUUACUACCAUCAAUCACUACUCUUCUCCCGACGUCAGCAACCAAUACCGAUCACCACCGUCCACCGCUCUGCCCCAAAUCCAAGUCGGCGACACAAGAACCACGACACAACCACCGCCAAAUCGAAGGGUCGCAGCUUUAUCUACUACGUCACCACAACCCAAGUCAUGGUUCUCGUCUGAGGUUUGGGCUCCAACAGGUACGCUUGAAGAUACCACCGUUGGACUACAAUGAUCUAGAACUGCGAAUCAAUAAUCUGAAAGAGGGAGCAACAUAUUUUUAUUUUCAUGUAUUAAAACUUGAUGAAAUAUUCUCUUCAAGCAAGCAAACCAUUGAGAUGUUUGAUCCUAUUAGAGAACUCAGAGUUUGCUGGCUACAUUGUUUUGGCUUUGACUUAGAUUUAGAUUUAGACUCUGUUGUUGGAUCUUUAUUUAAGCCUUUUUUUUAUUUGACUAUCAAUUUUCACCUACUAAUUGUUGUCAGCAAAGACAUCAGUUCAUGGCUUUCUAUUUUUGUGGUUUAAGAUUAACUAAAGUAUUGUUGAUAAAAAUCAUAGCUUACUGUACAUUUGACUUUCCAUUAGUACUUUAAAUUUAAGCAUUGAAGUGAUUAGCAUUUCAUUGGUUACGCUAAGUCGCUAACCUUUGAUGUAAUUUUAAACUGUACACAUUUGAUGAGAAUUUAUAGUUUGAAGUUAAAGGGCAGUGUCGAUUCUGUUGUCUUACUGUUAAGAGAAUUAUAAGAAUAAAUUUUGAGAGAUUCAUUAUGAUUUAUGACUCAGGGUUUGCAUUAAGUGGUCUACACUGAGCGGACCAUGAUUAGGAUCGACAUAGAAUUGUGUCUAUGGUCCGAACUUAUAUAUAUAUAUAUAUUUGUCAAAGUACGGUUUAAAAUCUCUAAAUAGUAAAACCAAUGAAAGUAUGAAAGGCAUGUAAGGUCUUCUUAGCAACAUCUGUUUAAUUUGAACUUCUUAUUCACUGGCUUUAUUUUGGUGUUCUCAGGUUAAUGGAGGUUUGAUGUAAGAAUUAUUCACAGGACCCACUGCCACCCAUGGGUGGACGGGCGCACCCUUUUAAAUUUUAUAUUUUAGUAUUAUACGUAUGCGAAUAUCUCCCCCCCCCCCCUCUCUGAAGUUUUAACAUACCCCCUUGAAAUAAUGAAUGGUUGAAGCAAGUAUAUGAAAUGGAUAAAAAAAAACAAAAACACUACUCAUCAGAAAUUUUUUCCGACAGGAGUAGCAGAAAAAAAUGGCAUUUGAAGAAGAUGAUUAGAUUACGAAGAAUAGGGUAGGGGUCAUUUGGUAAUUAUACACCUUCAAUGUAGUCUUACACUCAUGUUUAAGUUUCUUUUCAGUGUAAUAUUUGGUUUCUUUACGUUUUGACCACCACACCACAACAGUCUUCUGCUUCAUUCAAAAGACAUCACACACUUACAGUGAAUCAGCGGUAAGAGACAGAGAUGGUGAAAGGAAAAUGACUUCCGUAGGCCUCCGUCGUGAUAAGAGCAAACCUCUUCAACAAUCUCUUGGAAGAUCAUCCAUCUUCUUCACCCCCAAGAUAGCAUCACAAACCUUGGCAAUGGAAGCUAGGAUUUCAGUGAUCCGAUUGCAUGUUAGUUCUCUUUCCCUUUGCUUAAUUUUGCUGGAGUAAGUAGAUACGGUACGCCGAUUUCCCCCCUUUCUCAUUGUUCAAUUGUGAUUUCUGAAUGGCGAUUAAGAUAUUGUCAUUCUUGAACAAAAUUUCCCUAGAAAGGGGUGUUGAAUUUUUGGGAUGAUCACAUAAAUCGUAAUUUCAAAUUGCAGCCUCCUCCUCCUCUUAACUCAUAUUAAGAAAAAAAAUCUUUAAACAAAAGCUAAUUCGUGUUUUCACCAGCACUAUCCAUUCUUAGGAAUCCACGUUAAUAAAUAAAUAAACAAAACUCCACAUGCUCUUUAUCUUUGGAAAUUAGGCAUACUAAGUGUAUUGUAGUGAAAAAAUCUUCCAGUUGUAAAUUUAUGACGAUAUUCAAUAUAGUUAAUACGGUAAUAUGAAGCGAAGAAAAGGAAUGACCACCUAUUAUUCAUGUAUUCCAAUUUAUUUUAACUUACUGUUGUUAUUGCUGAAGCUCUUAAGAAGUAAACAAAAGGUUUCUUCUAAUUACAAAGUUGAUAAAGUAGUCUACCAUGAAUAUGAUUAGAAAAAUGUGUAUACAAAGUUACAAACUUAGAAACGAUAAAUAAAAGAAAUACACUUACAAUAGUUGCCUUUCUGUUGGUGGAUAACCACAUUCGUCCCGAAUAUUCACAAGGUUUGAAUUUUUGCGAUCGUUUGUGAUUUUCAGUAUUGCUAUGUCUGAUGUUUUCGCUACCAGUUCUUUUUUUACCUUUUUUUGAACAUCUAGAUGGUAUGUCUUUCUUUCAAUAAUUAUGAGUUAAGAUGCAGACUACUAUUUGUUACUAUUGAUGCCUAAUUGUUAUUGCUGAUGUUAUUGUUUUCUUUUGUGAAGUGGGUUUUUGGUAGAGUUUAUUAUAUGUACGGGUUGCAUGGAAUUGUGGCUACCGGCUUAGACAAGGGUGCCAAUUAACGGUCUAGGUGAAGUAUGAUACUAAUCUUACUUAUCAAUUGAAUAGACAUUCACUAUGAAACUUUUAUGGAUGAGGAACCUUCAAUGAUGAUGCUCGGUGAUUGAAAUGGCUGAGAACCAUUAACGUCUUGAUGAUGGCAAAAUAUGGUGGUAAAAGAUCAGUAGGGCAUGAAGAACCGUUUGCACACUUACAUCAUCAAAAGGCGAUGAUCAAAGUUGGUUACCAAGGUAGAACUUGCAUUAAAAGGUAAGUCAACUCAGUGAUACAUAAAUCAAUUGAGGUCAAUAUUGAGGUCAAAUAGUGAUAUAAUUUUAACAAUGUUGAUGCCACUCAUACCAUCCACUGUUUACUUUUUAUAAUUUCUUUCGCAUACCUUGCACCUCUUGCAUAGAUUUUCUAUUUUUAUGCAUGUUUCUGUAUAUACUUUGUGAUGACCACUA